UAGACGCUACGGACUUWAAAAAUCCGUCGAUUUCAAAAAUCAU
rnacentral:tRNA from 1 species